rnacentral:rRNA from 1 species
GACGAACGCUGGCGGCGUGCUUAACACAUGCAAGUCGAACGGAAAGGCCCUGCUUUUGUGGGGUGCUCGAGUGGCGAACGGGUGAGUAACACGUGAGUAACCUGCCCUUGACUUUGGGAUAACUUCAGGAAACUGGGGCUAAUACCGGAUAGGAGCUCCUGCUGCAUGGUGGGGGUUGGAAAGUUUCGACGGUUGGGGAUGGACUCGCGGCUUAUCAGCUUGUUGGUGGGGUAGUGGCUUACCAAGGCUUUGACGGGUAGCCGGCCUGAGAGGGUGACCGGCCACAUUGGGACUGAGAUACGGCCCAGACUCCUACGGGAGGCAGCAGUGGGGAAUAUUGCACAAUGGGCGGAAGCCUGAUGCAGCAACGCCGCGUGCGGGAUGACGGCCUUCGGGUUGUAAACCGCUUUCGCCUGUGACGAAGCGCGAGUGACGGUAAUGGGUAAAGAAGCACCGGCUAACUACGUG